GAUGUUAGAUAUCCCUGGCAUGAAACCAAAUUGGUUCUAUGGAAACGUUGAAUACACCCUAAUAUUAAUCACCAUUCCCUAAUUUAUAGUACAACUACUAAGCUUGACAUUUGUCCGUUCAUCCAUCAUCUACUUGCACAUCAAGAUCUAAUAAUUUUAUUGUGAUGCUCAUACAGAGGAAAUUGUUUUCAAAGAGUUCAUAGCUCUAGUUUGGCUGUUCUAAUUUGUUAAAUAAACAGGGUAAAAUUGAUUAUUGAGGAAAUUGAGAGAGAAGAAACAGAAUGGAGGGAGGAUCUAUAUUCGUCUGAUAGAAAAUUUGCAGAGUAUUACAAUGUUCUAGAGCAGAUUCUUGGGGUGCUUAUCAAACUUGUCAAGGAUAUAAAACUGCAACACCAACAUAAAUAUGAUGAACUGCAAAAGACUUGGCUGUGCAAAAGAUGUGAGACAAUGAGUGCUAAAUUGGGGGUUCUAGAACAUAUUCUCCUGCUUGAAACCUAUACUCCAGAAACCAUUCCGGCACUCCACAAAAUAAGGUAAAAGAAUAUGUACCUUUA